rnacentral:rRNA from 1 species
GUGAGUAUCACGUGAGUAACCUUCCCUUAACUCUGGGAUAAGCCCGGGAAACUGGGUCUAAUACCGGAUACNACCAGUCCUCGCAUGGGGUGCUGGUGGAAAGAUUUAUCGGUUUUGGAUGGACUCGCGGCCUAUCAGCUUGUUGGUGAGGUAAUAGCUCACCAAGGCGAUGACGGGUAGCCGGCCUGANAGGGUGACCGGCCACACUGGGACUGAGACACGGCCCANACUCCUACGGGAGGCAGCAGUGGGGAAUAUUGCACAAUGGGCGAAAGCCUGAUGCANCGACGCCGCGUGCGGGAUGACGGCCUUCGGGUUGUAAACCGCUUUCAGCAGGGAAGAAGCGCAAGUGACGGUACCUGCAGAAGAAGCGCCGGCUAACUACGUGCCAGCAGCCGCGGUAAUACGUAGGGCGCGAGCGUUAUCCGGAAUUAUUGGGCGUAAAGAGCUCGUAGGCGGUUUGUCACGUCUGCUGUGAAAGCCCGGGGCUCAACCCCGGGUGUGCAGUGGGUACGGGCAGACUANAGUGCAGUAGGGGAGACUGGAAUUCCUGGUGUAGCGGUGAAAUGCGCAGAUAUCAGG